UACGUAGGGGGCAAGCGUUGUCCGGAUUUAUUGGGCGUAAAGAGCGUGUAGGCGGCUAGGUAGGUCCGUUGUGAAAACUCGAGGCUCAACCUCGAGACGUCGAUGGAAACCAUCUAGCUAGAGUCCGGAAGAGGAGAGUGGAAUUCCUGGUGUGGCGGUGAAAUGCGCAGAUAUCAGGAAGAACACCCGUGGCUAAGGCGGCUCUCUAGUACGGUACUGACGCUGAGACGCGAAAGCGUGGGGAGCGAACAGG
rnacentral:rRNA from 1 species